UACGGAGGGUGCGAGCGUUGUCCGGAAUCACUGGGCGUAAAGGGCGCGUAGGCGGUUCGUUAAGUUGCUGGUGAAAUCCCGGGGCUCAACUCCGGGGCUGCCAGUAAGACUGGCGGGCUAGAGCAAGGUAGAGGCAGAUGGAAUUCCCGGUGUAGCGGUGGAAUGCGUAGAUAUCGGGAAGAAUACCGGUGGCGAAGGCGUUCUGCUGGGCCGUUGCUGACGCUGAGGCGCGACAGCGUGGGGAGCAAACAGG
rnacentral:rRNA from 1 species